rnacentral:rRNA from 1 species
UAGCAUAUCAAUAAGCGGAGGAAAAGAAACCAACAGGGAUUGCCCUAGUAACGGCGAGUGAAGCGGCAACAGCUCAAAUUUGAAAUCUGGCUCUUUCAGAGUCCGAGUUGUAAUUUGCAGAGGGCGCUUUGGCGUUGGCAGCGGUCCAAGUUCUUUGGAACAGGACGUCACAGAGGGUGAGAAUCCCGUACGUGGUCGCUAGCCUUCGCCGUGUAAAGCCCCUUCGACGAGUCGAGUUGUUUGGGAAUGCAGCUCUAAAUGGGAGGUAAAUUUCUUCUAAAGCUAAAUAUUGGCCAGAGACCGAUAGCGCACAAGUAGAGUGAUCGAAAGAUGAAAAGCACUUUGGAAAGAGAGUCAAAUAGCACGUGAAAUUGUUGAAAGGGAAGCGCUUGCAGCCAGACUUGCCUGUAGUUGCUUAUCCGGACUUUUGUCCGGUGCACUCUUCUGCGGGCAGGCCAGCAUCAGUUUGGGCGGUUGGAUAAAGGUCUCUGUCAUGUACCUCCUUUCGGGGAGGCCUUAUAGGGGAGACGACAUGCAACCAGCCUGGACUGAGGUCCGCGCAUCUGCUAGGAUGCUGGCGUAAUGGCUGUAAGCGGCCCGUCUUGAAACACGGACCAAGGAGUCUAACAUCUAUGCGAGUGUUUGGGUGUCAAGCCCAGACGCGUAAUGAAAGUGAACGGAGGUGGGAACCUUUUAGGUGCACCAUCGACCGAUCCUGAUGUCUUCGGAAGGAUUUGAGUAAGAGCAUGGCUGUUGGGACCCGAAAGAUGGUGAACUAUGCUUGAAUAGGGUGAAGCCAGAGGAAACUCUGGUGGAGGCUCGCAGCGGUUCUGACGUGCAAAUCGAUCGUCAAAUUUGGGCAUAGGGGCGAAAGACUAAUCGAACUAUCUAGUAGCUGGUUCCUGCGA